GUGUCUCUCUCCUGUUGCAAGGUUGUAGUACUGAGGCUGCUGUUUUGACCACUGUGUGUCUCUCUUCUGUUGCAAGGUUGUAGUACUGAGGCUGCUGUUUUGACCACUGUGUUUCUCUCUUCUGUUGUAUUGUUUAUUGAUACCAAUCAUGGGAAACAGCAGUUUGGUAGUUAACCUCUGUCUCUGUGUAUUAACAGGUCGUCGUGUUAACCUCUGUGUAUUAACAGGUCGUCGUGUUAACCUCUGUGUAUUAACAGGUCGUCGUGUUAACCUCUGUCUCUGUGUAUUAACAGGUCGUCAUGUUAACCUCUGUGUAUUAACAGGUCGUCGUGUUAACCUCUGUGUAUUAACAGGUCGUCGUGUUAACCUCUGUGUAUUAACAGGUCGUCGUGUUAACCU
rnacentral:lncRNA from 1 species